UUGGGAAUCUUCGGCAAUGGGCGCAAGCCUGACCGAGCAACGCCGCGUGAGUGAUGAAGGUUUUCGGAUUGUAAAGCUCUGUCUUCCGGGACGAUAAUGACGGUACCGGAGGAGGAAGCCACGGCUAACUACGUGCCAGCAGCCGCGGUAAUACGUAGGUGGCGAGCGUUGUCCGGAAUUACUGGGCGUAAAGGGCGCGUAGGCGGCCUGUCAAGUCAGAUGUGAAAUCCCCGGGCUUAACCCGGGAACUGCAUUUGAAACUGGCGGGCUUGAGGGCAGGAGAGGAAAGCGGAACUCCCAGUGUAGCGGUGAAAUGCGUAGAUAUUGGGAGGAACACCAGUGGCGAAGGCGGCUUUCUGGACUGUCACUGACGCUGAGGCGCGAAAGCCAGGGGAGCGAACG
rnacentral:rRNA from 1 species